UUGAAGAGUUUGAUCAUGGCUCAGAUUGAACGCUGGCGGCAUGCCUAACACAUGCAAGUCGAACGGCAGCAUAAGAGAGCUUGCUCUCUUGAUGGCGAGUGGCGGACGGGUGAGUAAUGUAUAGGGAUCUGCCUGACAGUGGGGGACAACAGCCGGAAACGGCUGCUAAUACCGCAUACGCUCUACGGAGGAAAGUGGGGGACCUUCGGGCCUCACGCUGACAGAUGAACCUAUAUCAGAUUAGCUAGUUGGUGGGGUAAAGGCCUACCAAGGC
rnacentral:rRNA from 1 species